GUGCCAGCCGCCGCGGUAAUACGGAGGGUGCAAGCGUUAUCCGGAAUCACUGGGUUUAAAGGGUGCGUAGGCGGUUCUAUAAGUCAGGGGUGAAAGCAUGCAGCUUAACUGUAUAAUUGCCUUUGAUACUGUAGGACUUGAAUAAGGUUGAGGUUGGCGGAAUGUGACAUGUAGCGGUGAAAUGCAUAGAUAUGUCAUAGAACACCGAUUGCGAAGGCAGCUGACUGGGCCUUUAUUGACGCUGAGCACGAAAGCGUGGGGAG
rnacentral:rRNA from 1 species